ACCAAAACUGACAUACUCUCCAUCCCUAGUAGUGUCAGCUCUGCACUGAGACAGCAGUGCCGGUGGGGGCUGGAAAUUCCUGGGUAGUUAUCAGGGCGGGAAAGGCCUUAGCUGGCAGUCUGGUCGUAAAUCUGCCAGGCUAACGAGGAUGAAGCAUGAUAAGGGCAAGGCCCUUCCUAAGCUUACGUGCCAAGCCAGAAGUCCAGAAGCGAGGUCAGUAGAGGUCCAGGUUCAAUUGCCAAGGGGUCAGUCCAAGAUAAGAUUCAGGGAAACUAGAAACACACGAAGCCACACCUGACAUUGUAGUCAGCAACAAGCUGAAGCCAAGGUUUGACUUUUAAGGAGCAGGUUUGUCAGCAGGUGUGAGCCCUCAGCGUUUUGGCCUUAAGUGGACAGGCCUGCCCCUCUUCUGCCUGACCUUCUGCUGUCUACAUUCUGCAGUGGACAACCAGAUUCCUAGGGGCAGCCCGCCAGCAGGACCUGAGUGCAAUAGCCCUCUCUCCACUUGUGACUCCUAGCAACUGAUAUACAGAGAUGCAAAGAAAUGGAAAAAGAAGCUUCAUUUCUCAGUGCCAGUGCAGCUCACUCCUCCUAAUAGCAAACUCAGGUGGUGAGUGCCAACAAGCCACUGAAUCAAGCCACUGAAAAACAGCACAGAGUGGCCACCAUACCAGCCAGUGGAGGACCAAGAGAAUCCUUCCCCUUCCUUGUGAAGUCCUACAGCAGCACCGCAAAUAUAGAAUCACGUCUUUUACUUGUACGACAGGAAAAGGCAUAAGUUGGUGGACCUUGGGUUGAAGUAAAAGAAGAUAAGAAAGUUCUGCAAGCCUGCAACCUGUCAAGCCCUGUUGUACAGGCAGGCUAACAGCUCUGAGAAAUAAACCUGCUGGUGUUGUUCGUAAGAGAACUCACUGGUGGAAGCAGUGGGCAGGAAGCCAGCUAAUGGAAGCCACGCCGGAUUUUGGAGAGCAACACUCAAAAGUCACAAACAUAUCAGAGCUUGCAAAUUUAUCCUCCUGUCCCUUUUGUGCUUGUUUUCUAUGAACACUGGAGUGAUUGAGCUUUAUUAGCACCAGUUUUGAUGGAAAAUGAAUUUCAAAGCUGUAUGAAUGAGUAUCCAUGGAAACGGAAUGUUAAGUGUACACACGCAGGUAUUUGUAUCAAAAGUGCUCACCUGCCCAUCCAAUCAUCUAGUGGUGACAAUGGGCACAUCACGGCUAGCCAAUCACUGCCUGAGAGCCCAGCUUGAAUGACAAACAGCACAUACACACAUAGUAAACAUUGCUGCAUACAAGUGGGGGAAAGAACACACACACACUUAAUGUGAAAUUGGCAUCUGUUGUUGAAGGCUCACAAACAGCUAAAGAAACAUAUCAGAUUCAUUGUGAAUGAUUACAUUAUUCAUUGGGAAUUAUUCACUCAGCUCUAAUGUAGAGUUUUUAAAUCAGGGAUUUCAGGCUGUUCUCAUUGCCCAAACAUUUAUUUCCCUGCCUUUGUGGGGGGAAGCAGAAAAGGGGAUGUGGUGGCCUACCAGAAAGAGGAGAGACUGAGCUGUUUAAUUCUUUGUGUCAUAGCUACACUAGCAAAAUGUCUGCUGUUACGACAGCUGGGACGUGUGCAGUGGACAAAGGAUUUCUAUACUGCAGGUUCCCAGUGGGGAUCCAGUUGGUUGUUACUAUUUAGGGUGGCGACUACAGAUGGGGGAGAAAUUUGAUUCAGACUGAUUUUAAAGCCGAAUUAUCAAAUUUCCACUUUCUGAAACAAUAGAACCAGAACACAGCCAACCUUUCAUAUUCACACGUUUCCAAAUUUUGUGAUGCAGUUCUCCAACCAAACAAUGUUUACAAAAAAAUAUAUUAGAGGAAAGUGUACAUAAAAAGGAAUAUAUUUGCAUUAUAGCAGAAAAAAAUUGCUUUGCAAAAAUGUGUGCGUUAGUGAAAACUGGACACAAAAAUCUGUUAAUUAGGAGAAAUGUGCACUAAAAUGCUGAAGCAUUUUCAUGAGGAUAUUUUAAAAACAGAUUUUGCAGAUUGCUGCAGAAAUGUGGAGAGCUGAAUUUAAGAUUGGAGAAUGAGAAACCGAGAGAACCAAAAAUGAUAAGGUCUUUCCAUUGCUAAUGCUGAUUUGCACAUUGCCAAAAAGAAGAAAUGCAUUACCAAAAACAAGGACAAAACAGGGCACAGAUUUGCGUGAAAUUUGCAGAUAUCGUGCAAUUCUUAGAAAUUAGUAAUUACUUAGAAAUAAUGACUAAAAUCUAAAUACUGUACAUCACACCUGAAUAGGGAAGACUGUGACCUGUGUGACUUCUCAGUCUGCUGCCAAGAUGUGAACGAUGGAUGGGCAAACCUCAAGGUCCCCCUCCACUUCCUUCUUAGGAUCUUUAAACUGGACUUGGACUGGACAGUUCUUCAAAGAGAGGACUGACCUCUGUGAUGUAAGGCACAUGGCCAUCCUACCCAUUUCUCUGAGCAGUGAGAGCUUUGACAGGUGCAGUGCUUACUCAACUUGGUUUGUCCUCCGACAGUCCUUCAUUCAGAGGACUGGCUUCUGUAAUGUAGGAUCCAUGGUGGCCAAAUUAUUAAUAAUAAUUGGAAAACAGCUGACUGUUUUAACCCUUGCUCGCUGGUUCCAGAAAUUAUGGCAAGUAGUGAUUGGUAAAAAAUUUGAAACACAUGAUUCGCUCAGCCAAGGGUGUGGUGGGUAGUUUAGGUAUCUACUCUGUAUGGCAUGAUUUCAUAACCUAGUGAUUCCCAAAAAAAUCUUUCCCAUGGACCACUUGAAAAUUGCUCGGUGCUCUUGGCAGGCCAUUUAAAUAUUUUUUCCCCUGCCUGUUGUAACGCUCUGUGCUAGGUGCUGUAUGAUUUUUAAUUGCAUUUUUAUUGCUUCUUUUACUUCUUAUACUGUACUUUUUGUACUGCCGUUUGCAUUCCCUAGAUUUCAAAAUGUCAUACAAUAAAAUACAAUAUGUGAAACAAUAAAUAUGCAGCUAAAAUCAGUAUGAAUACUUAAUAUGGACAUGCCGCAGACCACCCGAACGAAGCUUGUACACACGGGUGGUCCAUGGGCCACAGUUUGGAAACCACUGACCUAGACAAAUGGAAAGAAGGACACCUUUCUAUCCCCUUUCUGUGGAAGAAAGACUAAAUUAUGAAUAGUCUCUUGGUCAUCAGUCUAGAAGACUAUCUGCACUGCAGACAUUAACCAUACAGAUGCGAAGCUUGGUACUGAGAAGGGAAAACCAAUCUGAACACUGAACUUAAGGCUACUGCUAGGCAUGACUGUGUCAGCCUGUAUAGUAGUGGUUCCCAAACUUUUUUCUGCACAGACCACUUGAAAAUUGCAGAAAAUUACCACUAAAUGAUUUUUCUGGCCUGUUGUAACUCCACAGAAUUCAAAUUGUAAUACAAUACAAUACAACAUAAGAAAUAAAAGAAGCAAUGAAGAUACAAUUAAAAAUCAAUAUGAAUAUUCCAUGCGAUGAACGCGACAUCUCCCAGAUUCAACCCACAAAUCGACAAACAUGCCGCAGACCACCUGAAUGAAGCUCGCAGUCCGCUGGUGGUCCACGGAUCACAGUUUGGGAACCCCUCCUCUCGAGUCUAAGCAAUAAAUUUUUCUCUGUUGCUAUUUAA